rnacentral:rRNA from 1 species
UGCAGUCUGCAACUCGGCUGCAUGAAGCUGGAAUCGCUAGUAAUCGCGGAUCAGAAUGCCGCGGUGAAUACGUUCCCGGGUCUUGUACACACCGCCCGUCACACCAUGGGAGUCGGAAAUGCCCGAAGCCGGUGACCCAACCAAAAGGAGGGAGCCGUCGAAGGCAGGUCUGAUAACUGGGGUGAAGUCGUAACAAGGUAGC